rnacentral:rRNA from 1 species
CAGCAGCCGCCGCGGUAAUACGAAGGUGCAAGCGUUACUCGGAAUUACUGGGCGUAAAGCGUGCGUAGGUGGUGGUUUAAGUCCGUUGUGAAAGCCCUGGGCUCAACCUGGGAAUUGCAGUGGAUACUGGGUCACUAGAGUGUGGUAGAGGAUAGUGGAAUUUCCGGUGUAGCAGUGAAAUGCGUAGAGAUCGGAAGGAACAUCUGUGGCGAAGGCGACUAUCUGGGCCAACACUGACACUGAGGCACGAAAGCGUGGGGAGCAAACAGGAUUAGAUACCCCGGUAGUCCCUGUCUCUUAUACC